AAACAGGCGCUCACUUCCCACAGAGUUCCCAGCAGGAGGUGGCAGGACAGCUAGGUCUGCUGUGGGUCUUGGCUCCCCAUUCACACUAAAGGCUGAAUGCUCUGUGGCCAGUUCUCAAUUUGGACCAUGCUUUCCUGUCACAGCAGCCCAGACUACCCUCUGUCACCCAGCCCAGGAUGAGUGUAUCUGUUACCCCCAGGUUGACACUGCAAAAUCUGAAAAUGGCUCACUAUGCAGAGACAGUGCAGGGCAGGAGUGGAGUCCGAUCUCCAGAACCAGGCUUGAAUUCUGACACUGGGACAUCCUUGCUAUGUGACUCCGACCAAUUCACUUGACCUCUCUGGACUUGGCAUAAGAAGGGGAGAAUAGAAAUAUCUGUCACAUGGGGUUGCUGUAAGGAUUGAAGUGUGCCUAUCACUAUUCAAUAUUCAAUACAUAUUAGUUUUUACUAAUCUAAAAAAUAAAAUGUAAAAAUAAGAAAGGGA